rnacentral:rRNA from 1 species
GAUGAACGCUGGCGGCGUGCCUAAUACAUGCAAGUCGAGCGAACAGACGAGGAGCUUGCUCCUCUGACGUUAGCGGCGGACGGGUGAGUAACACGUGGAUAACCCACCUAUAAGACUGGGACAACUUCGGGAAACCGGAGCUAAUACCGGAUAAUAUAUUGAACCGCAUGGUUCUAUAGUGAAAGACCGUUUUGCUGUCACUUAUAGAUGGAUCCGCGCCGCAUUAGCUAGUUGGUAAGGUAACGGCUUACCAAGGCAACGAUGCGUAGCCGACCUGAGAGGGUGAUCGGCCACACGGGAACUGAGACACGGUCCAGACUCCUGCGGGAGGCCGCAGUAGGGAAUCUUCCGCAAUGGGCGAAAACCUGACGGAGCAACGCCGCGUGAGUGAUGAAGGUCUUCGGAUCGUAAAACUCUGUUAUUAGGGAAGAACAAAUGUGUAAGUAACUUUGCACAUCUUGACGGUACCUAAUCAGAAAGCCACGGCUAACUACGUG